CCUACGGGGGGCUGCAGUGGGGAAUUUUGGACAAUGGGCGAAAGCCUGAUCCAGCAAUGCCGCGUGCAGGAAGAAGGCCUUCGGGUUGUAAACUGCUUUUGUACGGAACGAAACGGUCUGCUUUAAUACAGUGGGCUAAUGACGGUACCGUAAGAAUAAGCACCGGCUAACUACGUGCCAGCAGCCGCGGUAAUACGUAGGGUGCGAGCGUUAAUCGGAAUUACUGGGCGUAAAGCGUGCGCAGGCGGUUAUAUAAGACAGUUGUGAAAUCCCCGGGCUCAACCUGGGAAUUGCAUCUGUGACUGUAUAGCUAGAGUACGGUAGAGGGGGAUGGAAUUCCGCGUGUAGCAGUGAAAUGCGUAGAUAUGCGGAGGAACACCGAUGGCGAAGGCAAUCCCCUGGACCUGUACUGACGCUCAUGCACGAAAGCGUGGGGAGCAAACAGGAUUAGAUACCCCAGUAGUC
rnacentral:rRNA from 1 species